AUCCGCUUUGAGAUGGACCCGCGGCGCAUUAGCUAGUUGGUGAGGUAACGGCUCACCAAGGCGACGAUGCGUAGCCGACCUGAGAGGGUGAUCGGCCACAUUGGAACUGAGACACGGUCCACACUCCUACGGGAGGCAGCAGUGGGGAAUAUUGCGCAGUGGGGGAAACCCUGACGCACCACCGCCGCGUGAAUGGUGAAGGCCUUCGGGUUGUAAAGUUCUGUCUUCUGGGACGAUAAUGACGGUACCAGAGGAGGAAGCCACGGCUAACUACGUGCCAGCAGCCGCGGUAAUACGUAGGUGGCAAGCGUUGUCCGGAUUUACUGGGCGUAGAGGAUGCGUAGGCGGACAUUUAAGUCA
rnacentral:rRNA from 1 species